rnacentral:rRNA from 1 species
UACGAGGGGGGCGAGCGUUGUUCGGAAUUAUUGGGCGUAAAGGGUGCGUAGGCGGUUCGGUAAGUCUUGUGUGAAAUCCCCGGGCUCAACCUGGGAACUGCAUUCAAAACUGACGAGCUAGAGUAUGGUAGAGGGUGGUGGAAUUUCCUGUGUAGCGGUGAAAUGCGUAGAUAUAGGAAGGAACACCAGUGGCGAAGGCGACCACCUGGACUGAUACUGACACUGAGGUGCGAAAGCGUGGGGAGCAAACAGG